rnacentral:sRNA from 1 species
AAAAUAAAAUUAAAAAUGAUUCAAUCGGUGUACAAAAACUUUAAACACCAAGUAAAAAGACACGAAGAUAGUACUAUAAUACUAUGAAUAAUAAAUAAAUGGGUGAAUCUAUAUAUACAUUUUUGCAGCCAUUUUGUGAAAUAAAUCCUGGAGUUGGAACUUAUUUACAAAGGCUGCCACUGACUUUUAAUUAUUAGUUUUUUAGCAAUAAAUUGAUUAACAAACGAAAAACAUUCUAAAUAUAUUCCAAUCCCAUAUAUCACGCAGAUUUUUCCAAAAUUUAAACUAAAUUUCGGCAACUAAUUAAAACAAAAAAUGUUUGACAACCCAAAAGACAAUUGCAAUCCCUUAAAAUGAGCAAAACGCAACUAAAUACAUUUUUUAUCAAUUCACUAAAUCUUAUUUCUUCAAAAUUUGAACUAGAUUUCGACAACUAUUUAAAACAAAAUUUUGUUUGACAAACUAAAACACAAUUGCAAUCCCGUAAAAUAUUUAUUUUAAUUAUAAAUUUAAAUUAGCGGGGUACCGCGAGCUUUUUUUACAGGACGGGUUUGGCGGAACGGGUUUGGAAGGACGUUACUUAAUAACAAUUGUAAACUAUAAAAUAAAAAUA